rnacentral:rRNA from 1 species
CGAUGUCGGCUCGUCACAUCCUGGGGCUGGAGAAGGUCCCAAGGGUUGGGCUGUUCGCCCAUUAAAGUGGCACGCGAGCUGGGUUCAGAACGUCGCAAGACAGUUCGGUCCCUAUCUAUUGCGGGCGCUAGAAAUUUGAGGAGAGCUGAUUCUAGUACGAGAGGACCGAAUCGGACGAACCUCUGGUGUACCUGUUGUGGCGCCAGCUGCACCGCAGGGUAGCUAUGUUCGGAAGGGAUAAGCGCUGAAAGCAUCUAAGCGCGAAGCCCACUCCAAGAUGAGAUUUCUUUUAAGGGCCGUUCGAGAUUAGGACGUCGAUAGGCUGCAGGUGUAAAGGUGGUAACAUCAAAGCCGAGCAGUACUAAUUACCCGUAUGCUUUCUUUUUUUUAUUUU